rnacentral:lncRNA from 1 species
ACACACAUUAAGUAAACAAGACAUUAAGAGAUUCCCCAUUCUUAAUCCUCGUUUAACUUAAUGGUUUUCAAAUUCCACACAAAACAAAACUCAAACAUACUUUCAACCCACAUCAAAACACAUCAAUUCAUUUAUUCACAAGAUCCAACCAUACACAUAUCAAAUUUCAUCAAUAUCAAUUAAGAGCACAUCAAUUCAUUUAUUCACAAGAUUCAACCAUACACAUUUCAAAUUUCAUCAAUAUCAAUU